UACGGAGGGUGCGAGCGUUGUCCGGAAUCACUGGGCGUAAAGGGCGCGUAGGUGGCCCGGUCAGUUCGUGGUGAAAGCGCGGGGUUCAACCCUGCGUCGGCCAUGAAUACUGCCGCGGCUGGAGCACUGUAGAGGCAGGCGGAAUUCCGGGUGUAGCGGUGGAAUGCGUAGAGAUCCGGAAGAACACCGGUGGCGAAGGCGGCCUGCUGGGCAGUUGCUGACACUGAGGCGCGACAGCGUGGGGAGCAAACAGG
rnacentral:rRNA from 1 species